rnacentral:rRNA from 1 species
UGUUCUACGGACUCGGUCCGAAGGACCAAACGGGGCUUCGGCUCCGGCGCAAAGAGAGGCCCAAGUGAGAUUAGCUAGUUGGUAAGGUAACGGCUUACCAAGGCGACGAUCUCUAGCUGUUCUGAGAGGAAGAUCAGCCACACUGGGACUGAGACACGGCCCAGACUCCUACGGGAGGCAGCAGUGGGGAAUAUUGCACAAUGGGGGAAACCCUGAUGCAGCCAUGCCGCGUGUGUGAAGAAGGCCUUCGGGUUGUAAAGCACUUUCAGUUGUGAGGAAAAGUUAGUAGUUAAUACCUGCUAGCCGUGACGUUAACAACAGAAGAAGCACCGGCUAACUCCGUGCCAGCAGCCGCGGUAAUACGGAGGGUGCGAGCGUUAAUCGGAAUUACUGGGCGUAAAGCGCACGCAGGCGGUUUGUUAAGCUAGAUGUGAAAGCCCCGGGCUCAACCUGGGAUGGUCAUUUAGAACUGGCAGACUAGAGUCUUGGAGAGGGGAGUGGAAUUCCAGGUGUAGCGGUGAAAUGCGUAGAUAUCUGGAGGAACAUCAGUGGCGAAGGCGACUCCCUGGCCAAAGACUGACGCUCAUGUGCGAAAGUGUGGGUAGCGAACAGGAUUAGAUACCCUGGUAGUCCACACCGUAAACGCUGUCUACUAGCUGUGUGUGCCUUUAAGGCUGUGCGUAGCGAAGCUAACGCGAUAAGUAGACCGCCUGGGGAGUACGGCCGCAAGGUUAAAACUCAAAUGAAUUGACGGGGGCCCGCACAAGCGGUGGAGCAUGUGGUUUAAUUCGAUGCAACGCGAAGAACCUUACCUACACUUGACAUGCAGAGAACUUUCUAGAGAUAGAUUGGUGCCUUCGGGAACUCUGACACAGGUGCUGCAUGGCUGUCGUCAGCUCCUGUCCUGGAAAUGUUGGGGUUAAGUCCCGCAACCGAGCGCAACCCUUUGUCCUUAGUUGCCAGCAUUAAGGUUGGGCACUCUUAAGGAGACUGCCGGUGACAAACCGGAAGGAAGGUGGG